rnacentral:rRNA from 1 species
AAUGAACGUUGGCGGCGUGGAUUAGGCAUGCAAGUCGUGCGGAAAGGCUCCUUCGGGAGUACUCGAGCGGCGAAAGGGAGAGUAACGCGUGGAUAUCUACCCCCUGGACUGGGACCGCGGCGGGAAACUUCCGGUAGUACCAUAUAACGCCUGCGGACCAAAGGGGUGAUUCCGCAGGGGGAUCAGUCCGCGUCCUAUUAGCUUGUUGGUGGGGUGACGGCCUACCAAGGCGAAGAUGGGUACCGGGUGUGAGAGCAUGGCCCGGCUCACUGGGACUGAGACACUGCCCAGACACCUACGGGUGGCUGCAGUCGAGAAUCUACGGCAAUGGGCGCAAGCCUGACCGAGCGACGCCGCGUGCGGGAUGAAGGCCUUCGGGUUGUAAACCGCUGUCAGAGGGGAGGAAAUGCAUGAGGGUUCUCUCUCAUGUUUGACCUAUCCUCACAGGAAGUACGGGCUAAGUUCGUGCCAGCAGCCGCGGUAAUAC